CCUACGGGAGGCAGCAGUGAGGAAUAUUGGUCAAUGGACGAGAGUCUGAACCAGCCAAGUCGCGUGACGGAUGACUGCCCUACGGGUUGUAAACCUCUUUUAUCUGGGAGUAAAUUGUUAGUCGUGUGCGACUUUGUAUGUACCAUAUGAAUAAGGAUCGACUAACUCCGUGCCAGCAGCCGCGUUAAUCCGGAGGAUUCGAGCGUUCUCAGGUUUUAUUCGGGUUAAGGGGGGCGGAGGGGGGUUUUUAAGUCAGGGGGGAAAGUCGGGGGCUCAACCGUAGAAGUGCAGUUGAAACUGUGAGUCUUGAGGACAGGAGGGGUGGGCGGAAUGCGUGGUGUAGCGGUGAAAUGCGUAGAUAUCACGAAGAACUCCGAUGGCGAAGGCAGCUUACUGGACAGCAACUGACACUGAGGCACGAAAGCGUGGGUAUCGAACAGGAUUAGAUACCCCUGUAGUC
rnacentral:rRNA from 1 species